UACGUAGGGUGCGAGCGUUGUCCGGAAUUAUUGGGCGUAAAGAGCUCGUAGGCGGUGUGUCGCGUCGGUCGUGAAAACUCGGGGCUUAACCCCGAGCCUGCAGUGGAUACGGGCAGACUAGAGGUAGGUAGGGGAGAAUGGAAUUCCCGGUGUAGCGGUGAAAUGCGCAGAUAUCGGGAGGAACACCGGUGGCGAAGGCGGUUCUCUGGGCCUUACCUGACGCUGAGGAGCGAAAGCGUGGGGAGCGAACAGG
rnacentral:rRNA from 1 species